rnacentral:misc_RNA from 1 species
ACACCUCAACCCUCCAAUGUUUUUUGCAUUGCAGGUGUUGGUAGUGAGCGUUGCCGGUUUUUGGAUCGGCUCGCUUUAAAAUCGUUAUCUGGAUCCAUUCUGACCUGGUUCUACUUGGCGUAAUAAGUUAUUAUCGUCGAGGACGCCUAGCCUUUGUAGGCAGGGCGGCCACAGUAAGGGUGUUUGAAUCGCUUCCAACACACGUCUUUCUCUUGCAGCAAACACCUUGAAC